UACGGGGGGUGCGAGCGUUGUCCGGAAUCACUGGGCGUAAAGGGCGCGUAGGUGGUCUGAUAAGGGUGUGGUGAAAGCCCGGGGCUCAACCCCGGGUCGGCCGUGCCGACUGUUAGACUAGAGUGCUGUAGGGGCAGGCGGAAUUCCGGGUGUAGCGGUGGAAUGCGUAGAGAUCCGGAGGAACACCAGUGGCGAAGGCGGCCGCCUGGACCUGACCUGACGCUGAGGCGCGAAGGCGCGGGGAGCGAACGGG
rnacentral:rRNA from 1 species